rnacentral:rRNA from 1 species
UACGUAGGGGGCUAGCGUUGUCCGGAAUCAUUGGGCGUAAAGAGCGUGUAGGCGGUCCGGUAAGUCCGCUGUGAAAGUCGGGGGCUCAACCCUCGGAUGCCGGUGGAUACUGUCGGGCUUGAGUACGGAAGAGGAGAGCGGAAUUCCUGGUGUAGCGGUGGAAUGCGCAGAUAUCAGGAAGAACACCCGUGGCGAAGGCGGCUCUCUGGGACGGUACUGACGCUGAGACGCGAAAGCGUGGGGAGCGAACAGG